rnacentral:misc_RNA from 1 species
GAGAGAUGGAUUUAUGUUUCAAGUCAUACCACCACCAAAACUUACUUAAUGAGCCAGUCGCGAGCUUAUAAACAAGCCAAACUCAAACUGAAGCUCAAGCUUGGCUUGUUUAUUCAACGAGCCUAAAAUUUUCAACGAGCCUAAAAUUCGAGCUCAAGUUUGGCUCGUUUAGAAAACGAGCAAAACCAAAUUGAACUUUUAUCGAGUUAAGCCUCCAGUAGCUAGCGAGUAUUUUAG